rnacentral:rRNA from 1 species
CCCUAUGGGGUGCAGCAGGUAGGAAUCUUUUGCAAUGCGCGCAAGCGUGACAAAGCGAGCCAGAGUGCUUUUCAAUUGAAAAGCUUUUGCCAAAUCUAAAAAUUUUGGCGAAUAAGGACUGGGCAAGACUAGUGCCAGCCGCCGCGGUAAUACUAGCGGUCCAAGUCGCAGCCAUCAUUAUUGGGUCUAAAACAUCCGUAGCUUGCUUAAUAAGUUCCUUGUGAAAUCUUAUCUCUUAAGGAUAAGGCGUGCAAGGGAUACUGCUAAGCUAGAGACUGGAAGACGUAGAAAGUAUGUAUAAAGUAGCGGUAAAAUGUGUUAAUCUUAUGCAGACUCACAAUAGCGAAGGCAUUCUACGAGGACAGUUCUGACAGUAAAGGAUGAAGGCUAGGGGCGCAAAAUGG